ensembl:lncRNA
GAAGUUUAAGUACAUUUUAUUAACAAUGCAUCCCUUUGAUAAGAUUAUGCUUCAGGAGGCUUUUAAUGCCCAUAGACAUGAACUGUACACACUAUACAAAAAAAAAAAAAAAAAAAGAAAAGAAAAAGAAAAAAAAACCACAAAAAUCAAGGUGGGCAACACCAUUUUGGGACAAGCCUCUGUUUAAAUUAUACACAGCUCAAUGCAAUAUUCUUACGGAAAAUAUAUAAAUACUUUUUCUUUCUAUGUUACAGGUAUACAAUAUAAAUCAGAUUUCAAUGUCUGUUCAGUGACCUACAAACACUAGAACCUCCAAAUAUGUAGCAGCGUAUUACUAAAUAAAGACAAUGUGGGGCAGGGAGAGUAAGUCUCGAGAUUUUCCUUGAUCCCUUCCCUCCUCAGGAUGAUCAACUUACAUCAACUCCUCUAAUGCAGUUUUAGGGAUGCUGACAGCCCAGUAUUGGAACGAUGUUUUAAUUAAGCCUAUAAAAUGUCUACCUUCACUCCCUAAGAUAUUGCGUCUUGUGAUGAAACAACCUACUCAGUGGCAAAAUGGCAUGUUACGCUUUUUGGCAUUACUUACAUUUCUCAAAUUAAACUGUGUGUUUUACAAAGCAAUUUAAGCAACAUGUGCAAUUUCUGCAUGCUCUGGCAUUACUAUCCGUCUAUGUCACAAAAACAGCCCAAAGAAAAUCCAUGUUCUUUACCAAACAUACACAGCCGAUGAAAACAGCUGUCCAGGGAACCAGAACCAAGCUAAGCCAAACAAAACAAGAAGAACUAGAACAGGGAGACUGGAGCUUUGACCAAGAUAGAAACAGUGUUUCUAGCACGUUCCCAAAGGGUUUGUAUGGUUCUCACCUUGUAUACCUUUAAUAAGCACAUGAUAACAAAGCAGAACAGAAAGAAUGUCCAGGACCGCUUCCAGCUGGCUCCACACUGAGCCCCCAGUAACAGCACUUCUGCACGGCAGGAGGUGAGCAGAAAGCACGGAAGUGCCCCAAAGCAUGGCAAGAAUUUCACUGUGAUUCCUCAGCUUGAGCUCAUGCUCACAAGGUAACGUAACCCUCCUGACAUGCAAAAAGCCAGGCAUCAGACAAGAGCACAGAUUAGGAAGCAGCAACUACUCUUUGAUUUCCCACUAGGAUUCGAUUGACUAUUAUUUUUGAAAUGUUUCUCACACAGCUAUCUGCAGACACUGUGAAGCAGUGAGGGCCAUACGUUUCUUCAGCUUCUCCGUGCAAAUUGCAACUCUCAUUCAAGACACCAUAACAUGCACUCCAAAAUGACAAGAAAAUGAUCAGUACUGUCGCUACUGCCUUUUAAAAUGUUUCUAAGGGCAGCUCACCUCGAUGUGCCAACCUCUGCCCUCUGAACUACUGGCUGUUGUUUCUUGUGGGGAAAAAUACUACUAAAUCACUUAGGGCAUGUAUGUCAGGUCAAAUAAGAACUGGCAGAUAAGGAAAAGCGACUGUUGCCAGCACAAUAUGCCAAGGGUCCAGCAUACAAGCUAAGUACCUCAAUGCCUGACUAUCUACAGCUCCAAGUGACAACCACGACAGCUGGAAGCAUUCAGCAUCCCUGAAUUUCAGGGAUCAAAAACCUCUUCCUCUUCCCUGUUUAGCACAGAGAAGCAGGAAAUAACUCAGAGCCCUGGAAUUACAUAUCUGCCCUAGUAAAAGGGCUCUCCCUUUCCACUGACUACCAAAGAUGACCAAGAAAGUGAGUCAGAUAAUUUAGUAAGCCACAUUCUCCUGGCUUCCUAGUCAGGCUCUCUCUCCUCCCAUGAAGGCUUUCACCUCAGACCCAUUCGGAGUAAUUCCUAUGUGAGCAUGCUUAAGCAGUCAGGAGUUUCCUCUGCCAUAGCAAACUGAAUUUGUAUACAGUGUCAAUGAACGCUGUCUGCUUUACCAUUUGUUCGACUGUAUUCCAACCACGAGUGGGUCUGUCAGCUCCCCUUCCUACCCCUUCUAGGAAAAGUAGAAGGAUUCUUUAUUAGGUUUAAUAGAGACACUUUUUUUUUUUUUUUUUAAUUUACCACAGUUUUCUUUUGAAGUUUUAUCAUGAUGCAAAUAAAGCCCCAAAAUAAGAACUUUAAAAGGGAUAUUAAAAAAAGGAAUUGAUAGAAUUAGAAAUUCACAGUUUAUAACUAAGUAUCAGUAUCCCUUCAUUUGCUAAUUAAAAUGAAACACUAGUAUGAGCUUAAUGUAAAUUACCUCUAGAAAUGUAUGUUAUGUACAGACUUUACAACCUUUAUGCUUACUUGUUGAAAUCUACUGACACUCACACACUUUUAGAAAAAAAUCAUUUUAACUAAAUUUGCAGCAAUAAUACAGACAUCAAGUUUCUGUAGUUAUGGAUCCCCAUACAAGCAAGUAUUUUAGGAAAUUUAAGAUUCAAAAUAUUUCAAAAGUAUACUGACAUUGCUUUGCUUACCUUCUUCUAUAAUCAGAGGCCUUUCUAUUGCGCUUUCUACUUUAAGUGCUAUGUAUUAAGCUGGUAACAAAUGAACACGUGUGUUUUAUUUAAAUACAGGUGAUAAAACUUGUUUAUUUUGCUUUAACUGAAAAAAAAAUAAUACAUGGAGUUGUUUGAUGUAACCCCAUCUAGUUACUAAAACAAAUCUCUUGUACUCUAGCCUAACUGAGGUAGUGUUUGAAACUACUGUGUAAGAUACGCCAGCCCCAUUUUUGGGAACAUUACAUUACUUCCUUUGGAGUUUACACCACUAUUUGGUCUACUGUGGUUGGCAUUUUGGUUAUACAGAUUUCUUAUAGCCAGGAAAGUCCAUCACUGGUGUGGUAUGUUUUCAGAAUAUUUCAAAACAUUUGACACAGAUGCAUUAUGUCUGUCACUGACUACCAAAUAUUUGAAUUCGAAGAUUUGUUCCUUCUUUCCGUGGGAACUCAUGAGAAGAAUCUCAGGAACUAGACUUGGCUAUGAGCAGCAACUUACAGAUCUGCGUUAUGAGAACCUGAUGGUACACAGUGCACAUAAGAACUCAGUGAAGUGAUAUCUGCAAAGCAGUGCUUAUGCGGCAAGAUGAAGUUUUCAAUAAAAGCAAGUACAUUUUAAAAUGUCACUAGGAUUCAUGUUUUACUGCUCACAAGACAACUUACUGAAAUCCCCAGUAGCAUAGCUAGUAAGAAUAUGGUUAUGCGUAUCACUUAUCUUAUAAAUUUCACUUAUCUUCACUUAAGUAUUAAUCUCACAAUUAUAAAAAUGGUAAAAGUGAAUGGAUAAAAAUACGUUCUACUUAGUACAGUCCAGCUGAAUUGUUCACCUAUAUCAAAAUCAAAGGGUAACCCCUUCUAUGACAGUCAUCCUAACAAAGGUGGCCAUGCUACUGUAUAUAUACACAUUUGCAUAUAUUUAUAUUACCUUUGCAUGAAGGCUUCUGAAUUUUUAGAUGCAUUAUAAAAGUGAUAGGACUCCUAUGUUUUUCCUUUCCAUUAGGCUUGCACUCUUCAUUUUAGAAACUUCACCAGUUUGAUAGAGACUUGUGUCAUCCUCAUUAACAGUCACUGUAUCACAUAACUUUCACAACAAGUCUCAAAUUCCAAUAUAAAAUUUUAAGUUCUGUUGCUUCAAAGUUUGGUACUUAAGGCUUUUCACUACAAUUAUUAGCACUAUCUGAUGCUUGAUCACUCAUCCACUGAAAACUCAAUCAAACCUUUGUUUUUACAAAAGGCUGUUUUCAUGGAACUUGGAAAACCGCUCAUAUGCCUUCUCACAAAAGCAGCAAUGAUUAAAUGUCUUCAAGUCUAGUUUAUACAAUAUUCAUUUAUCUGAUACAAAUCAUGCCUGUUAAAGGUUUUUAGUUAAGAAUAAGACCAACGUUCACACUAUAUGAGCAUGAGUGUAGAAACUGCAAACGCAUGCAUAUCAUUCAGGGAAAACAAUUUGAUUUCAGCAUUUUAACUUUAAAUGAUUUGCUGUUUUUAAAUCAAACUGUAGUGAAAAUCCUUAACUGGUUCAGAUAAGAUACAUGUAUGUAAAUGUAAUGAAAAUGGAGAGACUGCUAAUAAAACAACUUACAACUACAGUAACAUUAAAAUAACUUAAAGGAACCUCAGAUUCAGAGGCUUUUCUUCCUGUCUGAAGUUACAAACCCCCCAAGUAGUGUUAUAAACAGUACAAAAAAAUCAACAGAAAAGAUCUAACAUUUAUCCCCUGCUGUCCACGAUCACAGCACAGCUCCCCAUUGCUGGCAACGGAAUGCACCCUCAUCCAACUCCUGGGGUUUGAU